rnacentral:pre_miRNA from 1 species
GUGUUUGCGGAAGCAGCAUCAUGAAGAUUCACAUGGACUUUGAUCUAUCUAUCUAUAUAUCUUACUUUCGAUGAGAAUCUUGAUGAUGCUGCAUCAGCAAUCAA